GGUAAAAGAAAAAGUGGGGGUUGUACCUUUUGUAUCAGGGGGGCUUAAAAAUGUAGUUAGGGUCUAAUCGAUUUAAGCGGAGCUUCUUUCUUAGUCUUUAGUAGAAGUUAAAGAAUGAAGUAUUUAAGAGGUGAAAAAUGUUCGACGUUUGUGGUAUCUAAUUACUUUGUUGAUAGAAGGGUUAAGCUUUUGUAUGUUUAUGAAAAAGUGUAGUUAAGAAAACUAGGCUUUAGAUUAGCCAGGCUAAUAGGUUGUUUAAAAUAAUUUUAAAGUUGUUAUUUGUAGCGUAAAUUUAUAAGAGUCGUGCUUGUAAAUUUUAAUAAAUAAAGAUAAUGAGUCUAUUGAACAGUAGUUGGAGCCUAAAAAUGACUCAAUAAAGGUUAGAAAGUUUAACAAAAACAUUUUUAUACGUGUAAUUUAUGGUACGACCUGCCCGGUGCUUGGUUAACGGCUGCGGUAUUUUGACUGUGCUAAGGUAGCAUAAUCACUUGUUAUUUAAUUGGUAGCUGGAAUGAACGGUUAAACUAACGUAUUUAGUUUGUUGGGCUAAAUGGUAAAUUAAAGUCAAGGUAAGAAUUCUUUGAUUUUUUAGGGGACGAUAAGACCCUAGAAGCUUUAUAAGGAAUUAAUCAUUGGUGCUGGUUGAGGUUUUUUUUUACUGGGGCGGUAUAGGUACUUAAACUAGCUUAGUUUUGAUAGAUCCUUUGAAUAAAGAAAGAACGGGUAAGUUACUCUAGGGAUAACAGUGCAAUAUUUUUGAAGAGAUCUUAUCGAUAAAAGUGUUUGCAACCUCGAUGUUGAAUUAAGAUUUCUGCGUGGAGCAGAAGAUACGUGAGAGGGUUUGUUCAACC
rnacentral:rRNA from 1 species